GAGGGAUGACGGCCUUCGGGUUGUAAACCUCUUUUAGUAGGGAAGAAGCGAAAGUGACGGUACCUGCAGAAAAAGCACCGGCUAACUACGUGCCAGCAGCCGCGGUAAUACGUAGGGUGCAAGCGUUGUCCGGAAUUAUUGGGCGUAAAGAGCUCGUAGGCGGCUUGUCGCGUCUGCUGUGAAAACCCGAGGCUCAACCUCGGGCCUGCAGUGGGUACGGGCAAGCUAGAGUGCGGUAGGGGAGAUUGGAAUUCCUGGUGUAGCGGUGGAAUGCGCAGAUAUCAGGAGGAACACCGAUGGCGAAGGCAGAUCUCUGGGCCGUAACUGACGCUGAGGAGCGAAAGCAUGGGGAGCGAACAGGAUUAGAUACCCUGGUAGUCCAUGCCGUAAACGUUGGGAACUAGAUGUAGGGACUGUUCCACGGUUUCUGUGUCGUAGCUAACGCAUUAAGUUCCCCGCCUGGGGAGUACGGCCGCAAGGCUAAAACUCAAAGGAAUUGACGGA
rnacentral:rRNA from 1 species